rnacentral:tRNA from 1 species
GCAUCGUUGGUCCAGUUGGUUCAAGACACGGCGUUGCCAGCGCUGAGACACCGGUUCGAUUCCGGUACGAUGCUCCA